rnacentral:tRNA from 1 species
GGGGCUGUAGCUCAGUGGUAGAGCACUUGCCUUGCAUGCAGGAGGCACUAGGUUCGAUCCUCAGCACCA